GGGCAAUUGAAUGCUUAUUGCACCACAUGUGUUUUUUAUUGAACAAAUUUCUUUGGUGGCGGGAGCAAUCCUACCGCCAGAGGUUAUAACUAAACCAAACUUUUUAUUUACAGUCAAACUUGAUUUAUUAUUACAAUAGUCAAAACUUUCAACAACGGAUCUCUUGGUUCUCGCAUCGAUGAAGAACGCAGCGAAAUGCGAUACGUAAUAUGAAUUGCAGAUAUUCGUGAAUCAUCGAAUCUUUGAACGCACAUUGCGCCCUUUGGUAUUCCAAAGGGCAUGCCUGUUUGAGCGUCAUUUCUCCCUCAAACCCCCGGGUUUGGUGUUGAGCAAUACGCUAGGUUUGUUUGAAAGAAUUUAACGUGGAAACUUAUUUUAAGCGACUUAGGUUUAUCCAAAAACGCUUAUUUUGCUAGUGGCCACCACAAUUUAUUUCAUAACUUUGACCUCAAAUCAGGUAGGACUACCCGCUGAACUUAAGCAUAUCAAUAAGCGGAGGAA
rnacentral:rRNA from 1 species